CCCUGCCCUUUGUACACACCGCCCGUCGCUACUACCGAUUGAAUGGCUCAGUGAGGCUUUCGGACUGGCCUAGGGAGAGUGGCAACGACCACCCAGAGCCGGAAAGUUCGUCAAACUUGGUCAUUUAGAGG
rnacentral:rRNA from 1 species